rnacentral:lncRNA from 1 species
GAGGAUGAGGAAGUGCAAAUGCCAGAGAAUGAUGACUCUCUCUGCGAUUCUGGCUCUAAGAAGGAAACCUCUUCUGAUGUGAAGUUGGAUAAUUCCCUAUCCUCAAGUGCAAAGACCCCUUCAUCAGGGAAACCCAAGACACCCUCCCAGUUGGAGUUGGAAUCAGAAACUUCAGCAAAAUCAAAUCCAAAGGGGAGGAAACCUUCCAUUGAAAAGAAAAAUGAAAAUAAUUCUAGGAAGGCUGUUGUGGGAGGUAUAUCAAGGAGUAAGAAGAGUUCACCUGCUUCGGGGUCAAAAUUGAAGAAUGGAACUGAGGAUUCAUCUGAUUCAGGUUUAGACAAUCCUGAC